AUUGAACGCUGGCGGCAGGCCUAACACAUGCAAGUCGAGCGGAUGAAGGGAGCUUGCUCCUGGAUUCAGAGGCGGACGGGUGAGUAAUGCCUAGGAAUCUGCCUGGUAGUGGGGGAUAACGUCCGGAAACGGGCGCUAAUACCGCAUACGUCCUGAGGGAGAAAGUGGGGGAUCUUCGGACCUCACGCUAUCAGAUGAGCCUAGGUCGGAUUAGCUAGUUGGUGGGGUAAAGGCCUACCAAGGCGACGAUCCGUAACUGGUCUGAGAGGAUGAUCAGUCACACUGGAACUGAGACACGGUCCAGACUCCUACGGGAGGCAGCAGUGGGGAAUAUUGGACAAUGGGCGAAAGCCUGAUCCAGCCAUGCCGCGUGUGUGAAGAAGGUCUUCGGAUUGUAAAGCACUUUAAGUUGGGAGGAAGGGCAGUAAGUUAAUACCUUGCUGUUUUGACGUUACCAACAGAGUAAGCACCGGCUAACUUCGUG
rnacentral:rRNA from 1 species